UACGUAGGGUGCGAGCGUUGUCCGGAAUUACUGGGCGUAAAGAGCUCGUAGGUGGUUUGUCGCGUUGUUCGUGAAAACUCACAGCUCAACUGUGGGCGUGCGGGCGAUACGGGCAGGCUAGAGUUCGGUAGGGGAGACUGGAAUUCCUGGUGUAGCGGUGAAAUGCGCAGAUAUCAGGAGGAACACCGAUGGCGAAGGCAGGUCUCUGGGCCGAUACUGACGCUGAGGAGCGAAAGCGUGGGGAGCGAACAGG
rnacentral:rRNA from 1 species